UACGGAGGGUGCGAGCGUUGCUCGGAAUCAUUGGGCGUAAAGCGUACGCAGGCGGUUCGUCAAGUCGGGUGUGAAAUCCCGGGGCUCAACCCCGGAACUGCGCCCGAAACUGUCGAGCUUGAGUGCGGGAGAGGGAAGCGGAAUUCCUGGUGUAGAGGUGAAAUUCGUAGAUAUCAGGAGGAACACCGGUGGCGAAAGCGGCUUCCUGGCCCGACACUGACGCUCAUGUACGAAAGCGUGGGGAGCAAACAGG
rnacentral:rRNA from 1 species